GACAGCAAAUAGACACGCUAGGUGUCUCAACUUGAGGAGAUGUGUAAUACAUGAAUCUACAUCUCAACUAGAGGAGAUGUGUAAUACAUACUCAGGUCUUGAAACAGAGAGAUGAGGGUGGUUGUUCUCCGCCAAUGCUCGUCGGAAAGGCGGCGCCGCCGUGGGAGGCGACGACGGUGAGCCCCGGCGGUGAACGAACGAGAGAGGGAGAGAGAGGCAAGAGAGAUAGAACGACGAGGGAGAGAAGGAGGGCCGACGCCCCUCGCCGGCGACGACUCCGGCAGCCGUAACCCGAGUUUCAAUCUGGUAAAGCUUUCAACUUCUUUUUAUUUACUAACAAGAAUUUAUAUAAACACCUUCAAGAAAGCUAAUCAUACCAGUAACAAUGGUGGUAAGACCAGAUCCAUUGAAGAUCAACUGGGUUAUUCUUUGACGG